GUCUAAAUAUAAAAAAACCAUAGCCACUGUAUCUUAGUAAUCAGUUCUUUUUCCUACAACCACGUGGUUGAUAAUGCUUUCCUAUGUGACCGGCUGGCUGCGCGCGCAGCUCUUGCCGCACGUGCGCAUUCAGCCGCAUGGAAGGAGAAGAGGAGGAUCGGAGGAGGAGAGCUCUCCGCCCAGCGCUGGAAAAAGGUAAGUUUUUACCCCUUUCCCCCUUCCAGAGCCGCGUGGGGGCACCCUCAGGGCACUAUAGUACCAGGAAAACGAGUGUUUUCCUGGCACUAUAGUGGU